rnacentral:rRNA from 1 species
CUACGUGCCAGCAGCCGCGGUAAUACGUAGGUCCCGAGCGUUGUCCGGAUUUAUUGGGCGUAAAGCGAGCGCAGGCGGUUAGAUAAGUCUGAAGUUAAAGGCUGUGGCUUAACCAUAGUACGCUUUGGAAACUGUUUAACUUGAGUGCAAGAGGGGAGAGUGGAAUUCCAUGUGUAGCGGUGAAAUGCGUAGAUAUAUGGAGGAACACCGGUGGCGAAAGCGGCUCUCUGGCUUGUAACUGACGCUGAGGCUCGAAAGCGUGGGGAGCAAACAGGAUUAGAUACCCUGGUAGUCCACGCCGUAAACGAUGAGUGCUAGGUGUUGGAUCCUUUCCGGGAUUCAGUGCCGCAGCUAACGCAUUAAGCACUCCGCCUGGGGAGUACGACCGCAAGGUUGAAACUCAAAGGAAUUGACGGGGGCCCGCACAAGCGGAGGAACAUGUGGUUUAAUUCGAUGAUACGCGAGGAACCUUACCCGGGCUUGAA